rnacentral:rRNA from 1 species
UGCCAGCAGCCGCGGUAAUACGGAGGGGGCUGGCGUUGUUCGGAAUUACUGGGCGUAAAGCGCACGUAGGCGGAUUGUUAAGUUAGAGGUGAAAGCCCAGAGCUCAACUCUGGAAUAGCCUUUGAUACUGGCAGUCUAGAGUUCAGGAGAGGUGAGCGGAAUUCCGAGUGUAGAGGUGAAAUUCGUAGAUAUUCGGAGGAACACCAGAGGCGAAGGCGGCUCACUGGACUGAUACUGACGCUGAGGUGCGAAAGCGUGGGGAGCAAACAGGAUUAGAUA